GGCGACGUAGCCAAGUGGUAAGGCAGGGGUCUGCAAAACCCCCAUUCACCGGUUCGAAUCCGGUCGUCGCCU
rnacentral:tRNA from 1 species